AGUCUCUGAAGACUAACAAUACAAGUAUUCCUCUUGGAGCAGAGGAAAGUCAUGCCACUGGUGGCAUGCCCUUCUCCGACAACUAUCUUUUUUGUUCUGAGAACUGAAACUAACAAGUUGCUACUUUGUGGCUGGUAUCAAUGAAUCUACACCCUGUACAUCUUCUACCAGCCAAGAAGCUCUGCAAGAAUGCACAAAACUAUGGAAAUAAGGAGCUGGGUACAUUAAUUUCUGAAGUGCUUAUUAUUGAUCAACCAUAAGAACUGCUAAAUGACCGAAGGCUCACUUCAUCACA